UUGGAUAAAAUAGAGGCGAAUAUAAAG
rnacentral:piRNA from 1 species